GGCCUAUUAGCUCAGCUGGCUAGAGCGUCGUGCUAAUAACGCGAAGGUCACAUGUUCGAGACCGAUAUUGCUUC
rnacentral:tRNA from 1 species